rnacentral:rRNA from 1 species
GGGGAAUAUUGCACAAUGGGGGAAACCCUGAUGCAGCGACGCCGCGUGAAGGAAGAAGUAUCUCGGUAUGUAAACUUCUAUCAGCAGGGAAGAAAAUGACGGUACCUGACUAAGAAGCCCCGGCUAACUACGUGCCAGCAGCCGCGGUAAUACGUAGGGGGCAAGCGUUAUCCGGAUUUACUGGGUGUAAAGGGAGCGUAGACGGCAUAACAAGUCUGAUGUGAAAGGCUGGGGCUUAACCCCGGGACUGCAUUGGAAACUGUUAAGCUUGAGUGCCGGAGGGGUAAGCGGAAUUCCUAGUGUAGCGGUGAAAUGCGUAGAUAUUAGGAGGAACACCAGUGGCGAAGGCGGCCAACUGGGCUUUAACUGACGCUGAGGCUCGAAAGUGUGGGGAGCAAACAGGAUUAGAUACCCUGGUAGUCCACACUGUAAACGAUGAUAACUAGGUGUGGGGGGUCUGACCCCUUCCGUGCCGCAGCUAACGCAAUAAGUUAUCCACCUGGGGAGUACGACCGCAAGGUUGAAACUCAAAGGAAUUGACGGGGGCCCGCACAAGCGGUGGAGCAUGUGGUUUAAUUCGAAGCAACGCGAAGAACCUUACCAGGUCUUGACAUCCACUUAAACUUACAGAGAUGUAAGGUGUGCUUGCACAAAGUGAGACAGGUGGUGCAUGGUUGUCGUCAGCUCGUGUCGUGAGAUGUUGGGUUAAGUCCCGCAACGAGCGCAACCCUUAUCUUUAGUAGCCAGCAGUAAGAUGGGCACUCUAGAGAGACUGCCGGGGAUAACCCGGAGGAAGGUGGGGAUGACGUCAAAUCAUCAUGCCCCUUAUGACCAGGGCUACACACGUGCUACAAUGGCGUAAACAAAGAGAAGCGAAGUCGUGAGGCAGAGCGAAUCUCAAAAAUAACGUCUCAGUUCGGAUUGUAGUCUGCAACCCGACUACAUGAAGCUGGAAUCGCUAGUAAUCGCAGAUCAGAAUGCUGCGGUGAAUACGUUCCCG